rnacentral:rRNA from 1 species
CUCGUAGGCGGUUCAACAAGUCGGUCGUGAAAGCCCGGGGCUCAACCCCGGGACGCCGGUCGAAACUGUUGUGACUUGAGUUCGGUAGAGGUGAGUGGAAUUCUCGGUGUAGCGGUGGAAUGCGCAGAUAUCGAGAGGAACACCCGUAGCGAAGGCGGCUCACUGGGCCGAUACUGACGCUGAGGAGCGAAAGCGUGGGGAGCAAACA